rnacentral:rRNA from 1 species
AUGCAACGUUAUGGAUACCAUGACCGAUCACCAUCGAGAAAUAAGAAUUUUGAUAAAUCACUUCGGGUGAGCGGGGCCUUCAAGCGGCCUCAAUACGCCGGGGUUGUAAUUGACAUAGCUUUCCAUAUGGGAAAUGUCGCCUCCUUACUAAAAAGGAAUAGAAUCAAGUUAUUUUUACCAAAGAAGUCCCGCUCUGACGGCCCGACGAGUCAUCUACUAAAAAGGACCCUCCCCGCUGUGCGCCCCUCCUUGAAUAAUUCAUUCAUGCAAUAUUUUUUUAAUACUAAGAAUAAAAUGCAUUUUGAUCUUGUCCUAGUUCUCAAUCAUUUCGUGGCGCCGGGUGUGGUUGAACCAUCUACGAUGGGGGAGCGAACGGAGGAAGCUUAG